GGUUAAGCGACUAAGCGUACACGGUGGAUGCCCUGGCAGUCAGAGGCGAUGAAGGGCGUGCUAAUCUGCGAUAAGCGCCGGUAAGGUGAUAUGAACCGUUAUAACCGGCGAUACCCGAAUGGGGAAACCCAGUGUGAUUCGUCACACUAUCAUUAACUGAAUCCAUAGGUUAAUGAGGCGAACCGGGGGAACUGAAACAUCUAAGUACCCCGAGGAAAAGAAAUCAACCGAGAUUCCCCCAGUAGCGGCGAGCGAACGGGGAGGAGCCCAGAGCCUGAAUCAGCAUGUGUGUUAGUGGAAGCGUCUGGAAAGGCGCGCGAUACAGGGUGACAGCCCCGUACACAAAAGCGCAUGUGCUGUGAGCUCGAUGAGUAGGGCGGGACACGUGGUAUCCUGUCUGAAUAUGGGGGGACCAUCCUCCAAGGCUAAAUACUCCUGACUGACCGAUAGUGAACCAGUACCGUGAGGGAAAGGCGAAAAGAACCCCGGCGAGGGGAGUGAAAAAGAACCUGAAACCGUGUACGUACAAGCAGUGGGAGCACCCUUCGGGGUGUGACUGCGUACCUUUUGUAUAAUGGGUCAGCGACUUAUAUUCUGUAGCAAGGUUAACCGAAUAGGGGAGCCGGAGGGAAACCGAGUCUUAAUUGGGCGUUAAGUUGCAGGGUAUAGACCCGAAACCCGGUGAUCUAGCCAUGGGCAGGUUGAAGGUUGGGUAACACUAACUGGAGGACCGAACCGACUAAUGUUGAAAAAUUAGCGGAUGACCUGUGGCUGGGGGUGAAAGGCCAAUCAAACCGGGAGAUAGCUGGUUCUCCCCGAAAGCUAUUUAGGUAGCGCCUCGUGAAUUCAUCUCCGGGGGUAGAGCACUGUUUCGGCUAGGGGGCCAUCCCGGCUUACCAACCCGAUGCAAACUGCGAAUACCGGAGAAUGUUAUCACGGGAGACACACGGCGGGUGCUAACGUCCGUCGUGAAGAGGGAAACAACCCAGACCGCCAGCUAAGGUCCCAAAGUCAUGGUUAAGUGGGAAACGAUGUGGGAAGGCCCAGACAGCCAGGAUGUUGGCUUAGAAGCAGCCAUCAUUUAAAGAAAGCGUAAUAGCUCACUGGUCGAGUCGGCCUGCGCGGAAGAUGUAACGGGGCUAAACCAUGCACCGAAGCUGCGGCAGCGAACGUAUCACCCAAGACAACUUUACGGAGUUGACGAUUGACGGAGCGAAGCGACGUCAAAGCGUUCAUUAAAGUCGAGUUGGCUUAGGGAUACGUUCGUUGGGUAGGGGAGCGUUCUGUAAGCCUGUGAAGGUGUGUCGUGAGGCAUGCUGGAGGUAUCAGAAGUGCGAAUGCUGACAUAAGUAACGAUAAAGCGGGUGAAAAGCCCGCUCGCCGGAAGACCAAGGGUUCCUGUCCAACGUUAAUCGGGGCAGGGUGAGUCGACCCCUAAGGCGAGGCCGAAAGGCGUAGUCGAUGGGAAACGGGUUAAUAUUCCCGUACUUGGUGUUACUGCGAAGGGGGGACGGAGAAGGCUAUGUUGGCCGGGCGACGGUUGUCCCGGUUUAAGCGUGUAGGUGUGUGUUCCAGGUAAAUCCGGUUCACUUUAACACUGAGGCGUGAUGACGAGGCACUACGGUGCUGAAGCAACAAAUGCCCUGCUUCCAGGAAAAGCCUCUAAGCAUCAGGUAACAUCAAAUCGUACCCCAAACCGACACAGGUGGUCAGGUAGAGAAUACCAAGGCGCUUGAGAGAACUCGGGUGAAGGAACUAGGCAAAAUGGUGCCGUAACUUCGGGAGAAGGCACGCUGACACGUAGGUGAAGUGAUUUACUCACGGAGCUGAAGUCAGUCGAAGAUACCAGCUGGCUGCAACUGUUUAUUAAAAACACAGCACUGUGCAAACACGAAAGUGGACGUAUACGGUGUGACGCCUGCCCGGUGCCGGAAGGUUAAUUGAUGGGGUCAGCGCAAGCGAAGCUCCUGAUCGAAGCCCCGGUAAACGGCGGCCGUAACUAUAACGGUCCUAAGGUAGCGAAAUUCCUUGUCGGGUAAGUUCCGACCUGCACGAAUGGCGUAAUGAUGGCCAGGCUGUCUCCACCCGAGACUCAGUGAAAUUGAACUCGCUGUGAAGAUGCAGUGUACCCGCGGCAAGACGGAAAGACCCCGUGAACCUUUACUAUAGCUUGACACUGAACAUUGAGCCUUGAUGUGUAGGAUAGGUGGGAGGCUUUGAAGUGUGGACGCCAGUCUGCAUGGAGCCGACCUUGAAAUACCACCCUUUAAUGUUUGAUGUUCUAACGUGGACCCGUAAUCCGGGUUGCGGACAGUGUCUGGUGGGUAGUUUGACUGGGGCGGUCUCCUCCUAAAGAGUAACGGAGGAGCACGAAGGUUGGCUAAUCCUGGUCGGACAUCAGGAGGUUAGUGCAAUGGCAUAAGCCAGCUUGACUGCGAGCGUGACGGCGCGAGCAGGUGCGAAAGCAGGUCAUAGUGAUCCGGUGGUUCUGAAUGGAAAGGCCAUCGCUCAACGGAUAAAAGGUACUCCGGGGAUAACAGGCUGAUACCGCCCAAGAGUUCAUAUCGACGGCGGUGUUUGGCACCUCGAUGUCGGCUCAUCACAUCCUGGGGCUGAAGUAGGUCCCAAGGGUAUGGCUGUUCGCCAUUUAAAGUGGUACGCGAGCUGGGUUUAGAACGUCGUGAGACAGUUCGGUCCCUAUCUGCCGUGGGCGCUGGAGAACUGAGGGGGGCUGCUCCUAGUACGAGAGGACCGGAGUGGACGCAUCACUGGUGUUCGGGUUGUCAUGCCAAUGGCACUGCCCGGUAGCUAAAUGCGGAAGAGAUAAGUGCUGAAAGCAUCUAAGCACGAAACUUGCCCCGAGAUGAGUUCUCCCUGAGACUUAGAGUCUCCUGAAGGAACGUUGAAGACGACGACGUUGAUAGGCCGGGUGUGUAAGCGCAGCGAUGCGUUGAGCUAACCGGUACUAAUGAACCGUGAGGCUUAACCUU
rnacentral:rRNA from 1 species